UACGGAGGAUGCAAGCGUUAUCCGGAAUGAUUGGGCGUAAAGCGUCUGUAGGUGGCUUUCUAAGUCUGCCGUUAAAUCCCAGAGCUCAACCCUGGACAGGCGGUGGAAACUGCCAAGCUGGAGUACGGUAGGGGCAGAGGGAAUUUCCGGUGGAGCGGUGAAAUGCGUAGAGAUCGGAAAGAACACCAACGGCGAAAGCACUCUGCUGGGCCGACACUGACACUGAGAGACGAAAGCUAGGGGAGCGAAUGGG
rnacentral:rRNA from 1 species